GCAAAAACAAACAGUUCCAAGUUCGAGCCUGAAACCAUAAGAGCAUGCUGAAAAGCCUUCCUCCUUUCCAUCACCAGCAAAUGUGAAGGAAAUUGCAAUCCUCUAUCUGCAGCCUGAAAAGCAUGUUGCCAUGGAAAUGAUGCUUACGCUUUCGUAAAUAAAAGUAUUCUCGGGUCACAAAGGUCUGCAGCAUAAACAGGAGCACAAACACUGCCUGGAGAAGUGCCAGAGUGGCUUAAACAUAUAGGAAGAUAAUUUUAAUGGUGUUUUACUUUCACUGUUAUCAUCAGAAGGACUGAUGAAGGUUAACACGUAGCUACAACCUUGGCACGAAAACAAAGCAGAGAAACAUCUUACCUAUUGGUAUUAAUAGGAGUACUGAAAGCGGUAUCAUAGCCCUCCUGACUGGUCUUCCUCUGCUCUAUUGGAUCAAUGUUUCUCUCCCUUUCUCCGCACACUGAAGUGGGAUGCAUGCAUACACUUAACCACAGACAGCUUUACUGAAUUCAUCAGCACAGCCCAGGACAUGAGGAAAAGUGGGUAAUGUUACAAAAAGCUGUAUCAUGGACUAUCUGAUCGUGUUGUAUUUAAAGGCAAAACUUUGUCAAACGAAGUCACCUUGAGAGGAUGCGAUGGGCUUUUCUUCACCUAGAAGACAAGCUGGGAACUGCAGGCAAAGAAGGGUGGGCUGGUUGGGAUGGCAGGGUGCCAGCUAGCCUUCCAUUGGGAAACUGAGGCACGAUGGCUUCUAUCCUCACUACAGCACUUCUGUACUCACCCACAGUCUAACAGACACACUCUCCAUUUACUCCAUGUGUCUGCUAUUCCAUCCCCAGGCCCUGAGCUGUACAGCCAGAGCUUGGGGCAAUGCAGGGCCACCUGCUCAGCUCCAUGCUUCCAGGCAAAGUGCUUUGUGUUCAGCACGUGUGUGAACACCUGCAGUUUGGUGUCUUAAUCAGGGGCUGAAAUAAUGGAAAAAUAGCAGAAGUGGGAGUGAACACAGAGGCCAACAGCAGAGAUUGGGAUGCAUGAGUUUGUGUGAAUCUUCAGGAGGAAAGCAGGCAGUUACUGUUUCUGGUGGGUUCUUAAUUGUUCAAUGGACUGCUCAAUGGCAUUAAAUGGGCCAUACUGUGAAGCUGCCUUGGGCAGUAUCAGUUCAAGGAUACAUGCUUUACUCCUUGUACUUUUAAUAUCCAUACAGGCAUUCAGAGCAGACAGUCACUUUAAAUAAAACUACAGAGAUUGCAAAUGCCACGGCUUGCUUAUUUACUUACUGCAUCUCAGUCUGCCCAAAAUGUGGAAAUAAUGUUUCCAGAGAUGCUGGAAUUCAUCUGUCUGUUGAGGAUCCUGGCUCCUGUCCUGAAUGAUACUGCAUAUUCAGGGGAUGAUUCAUUCACUCCCGAGCGGGAGGAAGGGCUGUACCAGCUGUACCACCUCUCCGCUCCGAUUGACGGCGGUGAUGCUCCCACGGGGAAGCUGUGCCUCCAGGUUCAGCCAGCAAUUACAGAACAAACAAAGGAGAAGUGGAAUGGAGAAAUGAUUCACGGGAAUAGGAACCAAAAGAGAACCGGGAGGUGAUGCCAAGCCGGGCUGACCGUAAAACUUUCAUUUCUUUCUGCUGAAAAUGUGCAGUCAGGAUUGUGCAUCUCUUUGGUGUGUAAAUGAAUGGUGUCCUUUGCCAUCUGUAAGGGAGGAUCCAGGAGAGAGAAAUGGCUCUGAGGACUUUGAGCCUGCAAAAGGAUGGGAAGCUUCAAGCCAACAGCACGGAAAGACACAGCCUGGUGACCCUGAUGGCUCCAUCAGCUAUCUGAAAUAAACUUUCAUAUUUCAAUGUAAAAAAAAAAAAAGCGCUGUCCCUGCUGGGAUGGGAACUGUGUGGGAUACGGACGGUGCCAGGCGCGUUACACGCCUCGCCGUGGAUUUAGCACAGAGGGGUUGGGCAGCUGACGGCUCCCAGCCGGCACAAGGCUCGCUCGCAUGGCUCGCAUGGGAACAGGGUGGGAAAAGUGGGCUCAAAGGUUGCCCAGAAUGACCAAGAGAGGAAAAAUUCCUCCUGCCACUCCUCUGCUAAUCAAAGGGGUGUGGAGGGGAAGUUUUGAUCUCUUGUGUCCCGCAUUGCCAAGCAGAAAAUAAACACGUAUUUUAUACGCUAAAUACAAGGCCAAUUCCCAUAUUAAGGAAGAAGCCUCCAUGCAAUCAAAAUCAGACUUGAAAUCUAUCUCGCCUGUGGUGUAUUAGGUUGCUGGAAAUGGAGCCAGAUGUUCCAAACUCCCUCAAAACAGCCUCCAACCACACCUCAUCAGCUGCUCCAG
rnacentral:lncRNA from 1 species